rnacentral:misc_RNA from 1 species
CCCAACUAUCCCUAUUAAUCAUUAUGGUGAUUCAGAAACCAACAAAACAGGACCACCGUCCUAUUUUAUUAUUCCAUGCUAAUGUAUUCAGACAUAAGCCUGCUUUGAACACUCUAAUUUUUUCAAGAUUAAGGUCCUGGUUUCCUACCACGCUAAAUUAAUAACAUGAUAGUUCCCCAGAAGGUAGAAAUUCUACACGCCAGUACAGACAAUAGCCCGACCAACGAUAGAACCCCGAAAUUCAACUACGAGCUUUUUAACUGCAACAACUUUAAUAUACGCUAUUGGAGCACCAGACUUGCCCU